UCUGAGAUGAGAUCAUAAAAGGCACUGUGUCUUCUUCGGCUUUGUUCUCUCUUGGCUCACUUGCUCUGAGGGAAGCCCAUUGCCAUGUCCUGAGGACACUCAAGUAGCUCCCACCCAGGAUUGCUACAAGUUCCCCCAAGGCCCCCUAGUUAGUGAGGAGGGAAGCCUCCACCUAUGGAGAGAGAACUUUGACUGCAGGGCUGGGGGGAGCAGGAGAAAAAAACCAAGGCUGCCCCUCCAGGAUGUGGAGUUGAGGGGAGAAGCUAAGGGUCCCCUUCUGACUUUCCUGGCUGGGCCCAACUCCUCCCCACUCUCUCUCCUAGCCUGGCAUGGAGGAAGGAAGGGACAAGAAGAGGAAUAUCUGAGAUCCUAUGAUAAAUAAAUAAAAUUUAAAAAAAAAUGAAGAUAGAGGAAGAAGCCAAGGAAUGCACCUCUAGAAGAUGAAAAGAAAUUCUCUCCUGGAGCCUCCAGAGGAACUAGCCCGGAUGACACUUGACUUUAGCCAGGUAAAAAUGAUUUCGACUCUUGACCUGAAGAACUAUAAGAUAAUUAAUGUGUGUUGUUCCAAAGAACUUGAUGGUAAUUUGUUAAGGCAGUCAGAGAAAACUAAUACAGACCACCAACCCUGCUCCUGCCUGACCAAGUCCCCUCACUGUAUGAGCUAGGCUAUGGCUGCCCAGUGACCCAGCACACUGGUCUCAGCCCCUGUGGAUGACAUUGGCACCUAGGUGUGGGACAAGAACUGGUCUGGGAAGACACUUCCUUGGAUGUCCUGAUGUCCUCCCUCUGGCUUCCCACCUGAAAGCAGCAGCUCCCAUCAAAAGGAGCUCCACUGACAUGCUUAGAUCAGGGUGUCUACAAGCUAGCUAAGCCGAGAGUGCCCACAGGCAUUCCCAGGCUGUCUCUUGGUCACCUGCAAUGCUGUCACUCCCAAGAAAACUAUUUGGCACCCCCUGUAUGCCAGGCACUGAGGACACACAUGUAAACAAAUCAAACAAGAGACUCCAGCCCAUGGAAGUAAUCUUUA